GAAAUAUUGUGAAGAACAUGGGAUUGUUAAGGAAAACAUAUUUGACUUGACUAAAGUUGAUCGCUGUCUCCAGGCCCGAGAUGGGGGAGCAGCCUAGGACUCCAGGGCUGAGUGAAUACUUCCUCACCUGGACUCCAUCUUCCCUUCCUGGUCCCCAUGUCCUCUUGUGACAAGUUCUGUGACCUGAUUUCCAUCAUAUCACACAUGAAGACAUCAUCCCUGCAUCUUUAGGAUCUUCCCUAACUGCCUAUGAAGACUCAGAAAUUCACCAAGAAUCAAAGGUUUUCUCUGAAUUUCUGACUGUCCUUGUCACACAGCCAGGGGAACUCUACGUGAAUAACACCUGACUCUACAUGAUCAAUAAAUCAUUAACCUUGCAGUCAUGUAAUUUGUCCUUGUAUCUGUGAGGAUGUGAGGCUGACAGGGAGCGAAUGAAGGGGCUUCCUUGCCCCUGAACCCGUAAUCUUCCUCUAGUGUCUCAGAAUCUUCUCUGAGCUUCAGGAUUCUCCUUCCUCUGCAGUAAUUCCCUGUUAGGUUAUCCCAAGUCCCCAUGAGUGCUGCUUACCCUUUGAUUUGCCAAUCUCUUAGUGAUCUGAUAAGAGCAUUAUAAAUAAUAUAAGAAUAUAAGACUUGCCCCAUGAUUUCUGCAUCCUAGAAUUCUCUUUUCAGUUGGGGACACUGACAG
rnacentral:lncRNA from 1 species